rnacentral:rRNA from 1 species
GAUGAACGCUGGCGGCGUGCCUAAUACAUGCAAGUCGAGCGAACAGACGAGGAGCUUGCUCCUCUGACGUUAGCGGCGGACGGGUGAGUAACACGUGGAUAACCUACCUAUAAGACUGGGAUAACUUCGGGAAACCGGAGCUAAUACCGGAUAAUAUAUUGAACCGCAUGGUUCAAUAGUGAAAGACGGUUUUGCUGUCACUUAUAGAUGGAUCCGCGCCGCAUUAGCUAGUUGGUAAGGUAACGCCUUACCAAGGCAACGAUGCAUAGCCGACCUGAGAGGAGGAGCAGCCACAGUAGAACUGAGACACGGUCGAGACUCCGACUGGAGGCAGCAGUGGGGAAUAGUGGAGAAUGGGCGCAAUCCUGAGCCAUCUAGAACGCGUGAGUAAAGAAGGUCUUCGGGUCUUAGAGCCCGUUUGUGGUGAAAGAAAAGCAGCAGGCUAAUACCCCGGUGUCCGGACGGUACGUAAAGAAGAAGCACCGGCGAGCUUCGUG